rnacentral:rRNA from 1 species
AACGCUAGCUACAGGCUUAACACAUGCAAGUCGAGGGGCAGCGCAGUGUAGCAAUACACGGGCGGCGACCGGCGCACGGGUGCGUAACGCGUAUCCAACCUUCCCGAUACUCAGGGAUAGCCUUCCGAAAGGGAGAUUAAUACCUGAUGGUGUUCAAAUUCCGCAUGUUAUUUGAACUAAAGAUUUAUCGGUAUCGGAUGGGGAUGCGUGACAUUAGAUAGUAGGCGGGGUAACGGCCCACCUAGUCUACGAUGUCUAGGGGUUCUGAGAGGAAGGUCCCCCACACUGGAACUGAGACACGGUCCAGACUCCUACGGGAGGCAGCAGUGAGGAAUAUUGGUCAAUGGUCGGAAGACUGAACCAGCCAAGUAGCGUGAAGGAUGAAGGUUCUAUGGAUUGUAAACUUCUUUUAUACGGGAAUAAAGCCCACUACGUGUAGUGGUUUGUAUGUACCGUAUGAAUAAGCAUCGGCUAACUCCGUGCAGCAGCCGCGGUAAUACGGAGGAUGCGAGCGUUAUCCGGAUUUAUUGGGUUUAAAGGGAGCGUAGACGGGAUGUUAAGUCAGUUGUGAAAGGCUGCGGCUCAACCGCAGCACUGCAGUUGAUACUGGCGUCCUUGAGUGCGGUUGAGGUGUAUGGAAUUCGUGGUGUAGCGGUGAAAUGCUUAGAUAUCACGAAGAACUCCGAUUG